CCUAAACUGACUCUGGGGACUAAAGAAAAAAAGUAUAACUUAUCAUGGAAGUUGCUUAAGUGCAAAAUUAAUCAGGUCAGGGGAGGAUUGGAUAUGGAGAUUAAACUGUCAUGCUUGGAUCUGGAAGAAGAAAAAGAGAGGACUGUGUUGUUAGGUGGAGGAUGGCUUGCAUUCCUGCCUUGUUCCAACGCUUACUAGCAAGCUGACUUCGGGAAGAUUAGGUAACUCAUCUCAGUUUCCUCAUCUGUAAUGCAAAGGGCACCAUCCAAAAGAAAACGGCCAUGUUCUCACUGAUGAGAUAUUUAGGAUACCGGAU
rnacentral:lncRNA from 1 species